AAAAAGAAGAGACAGUGGGAUGAUACUUGUUUGCAGGGUCAAUGCUAAAAUACAUGCAAGGAGCAACUCAAGGCCAGGAGGAAGAACCAUCAACCAGCAGUUGUAGCCAGUUCCAAAAAUGUGUUUUUAGUAAUUGUGGUGGUUUUUGGUAUUUAUAAUUUUAACCUUUUUAUUAUUUAUUUCUUUUCAUAUUUGGUGCCAUUGUUAAUGUAAAUGUAUUUAUUUGCAGCAGUUAUUUUGGAAGUAAAGAGAACCUAACUAAGAAA